rnacentral:ncRNA from 2 species
GUUCGUCUUCAGGGCAGGGUGUGAUUCCCGACCGGCGGUGAUAGUCCGCGACCCGCAUUGUGCGGCUGACUUGGUGCAAAUCCAAGACCGAUAGUUAAAGUCUAGAUGGAAGAAGAUAGAG